CUGACGAGUUGCUCAUCUGCCACUAGCUAACUAAAUGUGGGUGAGCAAAAGAGUUUCUUUUCAUGAUCUUGACUAAGUAUGCCUUUAUUCUAGUUGGUGCUUAAAAGUUCUAGCGAAUACACUGAUGCUUACACAUCUAAAUUUAAGUUGCUAAACCCCAAAUACGCAUCUUCCUCUUUACACUGCUUACUACAUCUAGACAGGGCUUUGUUAAUGAUCAAGUCUCCAGUGAAAAUCUGCAGUACGAAAACUGUAGCAAUAUUCAAGGACAAUCAGUAUAAUUGUUGGAAAUGCAUUUAUUUGCUAUUGAAUUGAUUUAUAUCAUCUACUUAUUUUACUGUAUUUUAAAAAGUAUGAAUUUACUUCUUAAAAAUUUACUUUUAAAUGGCAAAUGGUGACGUAAUAAAAAUAAUCUCUUUUCAAAGCUGCCCAUAAAUCAGGACUUGGAUCACUUUCUGAAAGAGAUGGACACUUGAAUUCUCUUUUUGACUCAUGGAUUGUUCUACGUGUUGCAGAAAUGCAUUCUUUUCUCAAAAAACACUUAUUUGAAUAUUCAGUGUGUUGUCUCAAGAACUUCCCAGAACACCUACAAGAUUUAGAAGUGUCACAUGGUAGCCCACCUGAUUCUUCAAAGACAUCUCUUGAAAAUUCUGGAAUUUCACCAAAGGUGUCAUGUGUGAAGAUAGCUUCUUCAGUUCCUGUCAUCACAGAAGCAGACGGUCAGAUGGAGAGUCGGGCAGCAAAUGCUUCAAAUAAAGAAAUUAACAUUCAGUGGUAUAUUCCUUCUCUGGCAAAGCCAACCAAUGAUACGGAGACUAAGAUUUUGCUUCUUUAUGGUUAUAAUACAGAG
rnacentral:lncRNA from 1 species